GAUGAACGCUAGCGGCAGGCCUAACACAUGCAAGUCGAGGGGCAGCACGGGUAGCAAUACCUGGUGGCGACCGGCGCACGGGUGCGUAACGCGUAUGGAACCUGCCCCCCGCUGGGGGAUAGCCCGCCGAAAGGCGGAUUAAUACCCCAUGGCUUCCCUACACCGCAUGGUGGAGGGGGUAAAGCUUCGGCGGCGGGGGAUGGUCAUGCGUGCCAUUAGCUAGUUGGCGGGGUAAAAGCCCACCAAGGCUGCGAUGGCUAGGGGGUCUGAGAGGAUGGUCCCCCACACUGGUACUGAGACACGGACCAGACUCCUACGGGAGGCAGCAGUGAGGAAUAUUGGUCAAUGGGCGGAAGCCUGAACCAGCCAUGCCGCGUGCAGGACGACGGCCCUAUGGGUUGUAAACUGCUUUUGUGCGGGAAGAAUAACCCCCUCGUGAGGGGGGAUGCCGGUACCGCACGAAUAAGGAUCGGCUAACUCCGUG
rnacentral:rRNA from 1 species